GGGAGACUGCGAAGAAGCGCAACGGCAGAUGCUCGAUCUGAGGUCCAGCGGUACCUGACAGAGGGGAAUACUAUUGGAGGAACCAACACACUACUUUUCCCAACCUCUCCCACCUCUUAAGGGAGUUCCUCUGUACGGCGGCGUCAUCAGUACCAUGGACGUUGAAAGUCCAGCAGGAGUCAGGAUCCACACGGUGCAUCAUUGGGUCAACACGCUUCAUGCCACCCCAAUGACCCCAUAUACCCAUCACGAUAACUAGGCACGUCGUUGGAGUUUUCCAUGAUCUUGCGGACAGGCGUGCGGCGCAGCGGGUGGACGAGGACGAGCGGAGGCUGUCGAAGGUGAGAAAGAAGUCGUAUUUUACGCCAUGUUAAUCUCUUUGGGGCCGAAAGUCGAGCAAUUUCCGGGGUAAGCCAAAUCAGUCACCCUGGCGGGUCAACAGGUGGCGCUCGUGUGCAAAACACCGUGGAACAAGCAGCGGUAGAAGAAGGUUGGCCCGGAUUGGCCGACGUGACGUCAGGCUAGCAAAUGAAUUAGAGUCAGGUGUGCGGGAGGGAUUUAAUCGAGCGCGGUGCACAGCUGCGGCAAGAUGGCGACCGAGCGAGGACACGAGUGAGCACACGAGCAAAUGUUUGUCGCUUGUCGUCCUUUCUCACGAUGUCCUUUUGUUUGUUGCCCGAUUUGCAGCGUAGGAGGUUGGACUGCCGGACGCCACGACCCGUUCGCCUUUCCCUUGAUGUAGUGCAUUGUGCUCUUCGUUUCUCUUGCCGCGUUUUCAACUUUUUGGGGGUUUGUUUUAAAGCUGGCCAGCUUUUUUUUUUUUUUUUUUUUUUUUUUAAUUGUUGCAAAUGACAAAACCGAUGUCUUUGUGCUU